CAUGUAAUCCCUUCGUUCGGAAAUACUUGUCCUAGAAAUGGUUGUAUCUAGACUUGUUUUAAGUCUAGAUACAACCAUUUUUAGGACAAGUAUUUCCGAACGGAGGGAGUAAGAA
rfam:Triticum aestivum genome assembly, contig: Triticum_aestivum_CS42_TGACv1_scaffold_471873_6AL